rfam:Salmo salar isolate Sally breed double haploid chromosome ssa13, whole genome shotgun sequence.
UGUAUUCACUACUGUAAGUCGCUCUGGAUAAGGGCGUCUGCUAAAUGACUCAAU